AACAAGUGAGUGGUGCAUAGAUUACAUAUUUGAGAUCAGGUAUUACUAUUAAGUAUAUUCAGCCUCUAUAAAACUGUAGAGGAUGUCAUGAGUUUUUAUGAGAGUGUGUGGAGCAUUAGAGGAGUUGGGAGGCAGAGGAAGGGUACACAUGAUGUAAAUACAGUAACCACACAUGAAAUUCUAAACAACAAAAAAGUAUCAGAAAGCCUCAGAAUACUGUUUACACAGAGUUCACUGUACAUUGUCCUAUAACUUGAUAUUUUGACCUUUGUAUCUCAAUUGCUCUUUUGAAAGAUAUUUUACAAGUUUAUUUCACUUAGUUGUAUGCCCCUUAGAGUUGUUCAGUCUGUCUUAAAAGUAUUUAGAUUUGUGCUUCCCCAAAACUAAAAAUAUUGAUUUGUUUUUUGUCUCUUUUUGUAUCCUUAUAAAACUACUUUGGAGACAUGUCUGCUCAGGGAAUUAUUUAUGUAGCUCAAAGUGGAAUUCUAAUAGACAUCUCAUUUAAGACUGAGUUUUCCAAAGACUCUCACUCUCUCCAUAUUGUCCAGUGGGUAUGUUCUCCCAUGGGGGGACAGCUAAGCCUGGUACAUU